UAUGUGGAAAUUUGUUAAGUUGAUUUCAACCAGUCAACGCUACUCUGAUUUGCUGAGACCGCACGUCAUCAUAAACUCCACUCUGAUAUGCCGAGGCAAAACACGCUAAACAUUUUUUGGCUGCUGCAGUAGCUCAGCUCAGCUCGUUCAGUUCAGUUCAGCUCGCUCAGCUCAGCUCCGCUCCGGACCGGACUCAGCUGCCAAGCUAUAAGGUAAGACGAUAUGUAUAAGUUAAUGUAUUUGUAGUGUUAGUUGUUUUAGCUCUGUGGUCUUAAAUCAUCUGAACCUGCUGGCGUUGCCUCUCUUCCCAGGCAGUUAGCUAACUAGCUAGCUAGCUAACGAUAGCUAAACAGUGGCCAUAGUUAAAAUGGAAUUGGAAUUACUUUUGAGAACGACCGUAAUGCAAAUAAUAUUUACUGUAACCGAAGCUUUAACGUAGAAGCAUUGUCCGGUCAUUAAGUCAAUUCACUAACCAGUGCUAGGCUGAUAAGCCAAUCUAAGCUAAAUCAAAGAACCGUCUUUGGCUAAAUUCGCUAAGCUAGCGUUAAGUUAUAUAAGUUUGUGGCACCCACAAUUAACCUAGGCAACUGGGGGCAAUAUCAAGUGCAUUUUGAAUAGCCUGAAGAAGUAAGUUUAUGUUAAUAUUACAUAAAUAAGGCAAUUUAAAAUAGUUUGUUGUGGGAAAACGUUUAUUAAAAUAGCUUAAUAUGAUGUCUGAGAAUUAAAACGGCACGAUAAUUCUGGUCAGGUGUUAAAUGUGUAUUCCCGCCUUUAGCUUAGCGUUAGCUUAGCGUUAGCUUAGCGUUAGCUAAGCCAUAGCAUGAAGAAGUAAGUUUAUGUGAAUAUUACAUAAAUAAGGCAAUUUAAAAUAGUUUGUUGUGGGAAAAAAUUAAUUAAAAUAGCUUAAUAUGAUGUGUGAGAAUUAAAACGGCACGAUAAUUCUCGUCAGGUGUUAAAUGUGUAUUCCCGCCUUUAGCUUAGCGUUAGCUUAGCGUUAGCUAAGCCAUAGCAUGAAGAAGUAAGUUUAUGUGAAUAUUACAUAAAUAAGGCAAUUUAAAAUAGUUUGUUGUGGGAAAAAAUAAUUAAAAUAGCUUAAUAUGAUGUGUGAGAAUUAAAACAGCACGAUAAUUCUCGUCAGGUGUUAAAUGUGUAUUCCCGCCGUUAGCUUAGCGUUAGCUAAGCCAUAGUGUGAAGAAGUAAGUUUAUGUGAAUAUUACAUAAAUAAGGCAAUUUAAAAUAGUUUGUUGUGGGACAAAAAUAAAUGGCCAUCUUCAACAUUUUCUGAGAUUUCUAAUUUGUCUUUUUCUACUUGUGCAGAUGGAGUCAUGAAAUGUGACGGGACAGCCACCGAGGACUUCAUACUUCGGAGCAUCUCAAACAUGCACCACAAAGACGUGGAGGACACACCGCUGUCUCUCAGGACCUAGAAUCUUAAUGAAAGUAUAAUGAUGUUAAGGGAAGGUGUAAUGGAAAGGUGUAAUGUAAAGUUGUAAUGGUGUUAAGGGAAGGUGUAGUGGAAAGGUGUGAUAGUGUUGAGGGAAGGUGUAAUCGUGUUGAGGGAAGGGGUAAUGUUAAAGGUGUAAUAGUGUUGAGGGAAGGGGUAAUGUUAAAGGUGUAAUAGUGUUAAGGGAAGGUAUAAUAUUGUUAAGGGAAGGUGUAAUGCAGGGGUCUCAAACUCAUUUUUGCCGAGGGCCACAUUGACAUAUUGGCUGUCCUCUGAGGGCCAGAUGUAACUUAUAAAUAUAAGAAAAUGUAACCAGAUGUAAUAUAAAAUGAAUGUAAUUACUCCUUAAUGUUAAAUGACUCUCAAUAUACAAUUUAUUCAAUCAAAUAUUACAGUUGCAUGGAAAAAUGUUUGCUUGUUGCUCUAUUAACAUAAAUCCUUUUAAUUUGUCAUGUUAUGAAAUCCAAAAACUCCAUCAAUCAAGAACCAAACUAUUCAAGUGAAUAGAAAUUACAUCAAGUACAAGUUAUAUUAACUUUGAUCAAAACGUUUGAUACUGAAAUAAGGCUUAAUAAAUAUAAAAUCAAAAAUUGUGAGCUGUGACAGAUUUAGCAUUUCCUCAGAUUUAGCAGUUCCUCAUCCAACCACUAGUCGGAGCUGCAGCACCACAAGCCCGCAGUCUUUGCUUAGUCAGAGCUACAGCCCAGCCACGGGCUACAGGACUCAGCUGAGCCAGUCUGGAGCGUUUUGAAAUUUUUUAAGUUCUUCUGUGUAUGAAAUAAAAUAACCCCACUAACCGGAUAAUACAGCUCUCUACAGUUCAUCUUUCAGCCCAAGCAGCUAACAGCAGCAGUUCAGAGCAGCGUCACGGAGGCACUGCUGGGAUUACAUUAUAAACAGGUCAGUUAGCGCGCUGCUAACCUCAGGAUGUUUAUAACUACGGAGUUUAGUGGACACACCACGGCUGCAAGGUUAGACUGUUGAAGGCUACUGAAGACUACUAAAGCAGGCAACGCAGCGUAAGCAAAAAAAAAAAAAAAAAACACACACACACACACACCAAAAUACAAGUUAAGAUAAAAUAUGAAAACGAACAUAAUAAAGCAUAAAUAAUUAAAUUGAAUUGCGGGCCAGAUGUAUGUUUAUUUUGUUAACCCGUGAGGGGCCGUAUGAAACCGCGUGGGCCGGUACUUUGAGACCCCUGGUGUAAUGUAAAGGUGUAAUAGUGUUGAGGGAAGGUAUAAUAUUGUUAAGGGAAGGUGUAAUGUUAAAGGUGUAAUAGUUUUGAGGGAAGGUGUAAUGUUAAAGGUGUAAUAGUGUUGAGGGAAGGUAUAAUAUUGUUAAGGGAAGGUGUAAUGUAAAGCUGUAAUAGUUUUAAGGGAAGGUAAAUGUUUAGUGAAAUUGUUAUGGUGUGAAUCUAAGGUGUAUGUUAUGUUGAUGUAAAAUAAAGGCAUUAACCCCAAA